UUCAGCUGUUCUGUGGCCUCAGCGGUGGCCAGGGCUGGAUCUGCACGGGGUUCCUCUCCAAGCAUUUGCUAACCCCCUCCAGCCUCCUGCUAGGUAAAGCCACAGGAACAUGAUCCACCCUUCACGCCCACACACACAUACACACACGUGCCGUGUGAGUCACCUACCCCAUACUUGCCUGUUCACUCUGUUUUCUUACUGUCUGCGGAGCAAUGAAUUACUUAAUGUGGCCCUUCUAGCCAUGGCCUUUGUGACUCACACAUAAUGACUGGGUGGGAGUAUGCAAAUAAAAUAUGUGGGACCUGUGACAGUUGGGGUUGUGUGUCAACUUGGCUAGGCCAUGAUUCCCAUUAUCUUGUGGUUGUCCUCCAUUUUGUGUGUUGUGGAUCCUGACCUCUACAUGUUGAUGAAGCAGGAUUGGUGUGGGGUGUGCCCUGGGUCACAGCCUUGCAGGAGAGCAUGAUUCAAGUUCCACCCUUACUCAAGUUACGCCCCUCCCUGGGGUGUGGCCCGCAUCUAAGGUAUAUGUGUGGAUACCCUGGCAGGGCUCUCUCUCUCUCUCUGCAUCUGGAUCCUGUGUCCAGUUCGUGAUCCUCUAACUUCCAGUUCUUGGGACUUGAGCCGGAGGCCUGCCCUCUGACCUGCUGAUUCUGGGACUCACCAGCCUCCGCAGCCCUGUGGGCUGGCAGCCUAUCGUCUGGCCUGAUUCACCAGCUUCCGCAGCCUCGUGAGCCAGCAGCCUGUGGUCUGAAAUGCUGGUUUGGGUCUGCCCCUACAGCCAUGUGGGUCAGGAGAAGCCUAUGCCCGACUCAUGGAUUUGGAAUUUGUCAACCUCCACAACUGCGCUGUUCUGAGGCCCAGUGGGCUGAGGUGCCUCUGUGUGAUGGUCUGCUCUGGGGGCGGUGAAGAAGCCUGGACUCUUGUGCCAGCUCCACUGGGUCCACUGAAGACCUCAGUCUUUCUGGAACAAGGCUGGGUAGAGAAAGAAGCCAAGAGCCUGCCUGGUUUGGGGGAAGGGGCACCUUCCGCCCUAAGCCACUACCACACACCUGAGGCCCAAUUACUGCAGAAAGAGAGAGCUGGGCAAUGAUUUGGGCAGCCCUACGCAAGGAUCCGUGUGUUCCUGCUUUCAAUUCUUUGGGGUAUAUGCCCAGGAGGGGAAUUGCUGGGUCACAUGGUGGAUCCACUGGGCAUACCUUCUGGAGUCAUGGCUUUGAACAGGCACAAGUUAAGAAGUCCUGGGCUGGAGGGAUGUCUGUGGGGGCUGGACCUGAGCAUGGGGUCAAGGGGAUACAAAGAUAGUCCACAGAUCUGCCAUGUCCAGCAAGCAAGGGCAAGUGACAGUGUGUGUGUGUGUGUGUGUGCGUGUGUGUGUGUGUGUGUGUGUGUAGGUCUGUCUGUGAGCAUGUGAGAAACAAGGGCACCCAGACAUGCAUUUGUCAGUCUGGGUGUGGAGUAUAAGUGUGCCUCACGCGGCCUGCAGCCCAUGUGUGCUGUGUGUGUGUCUCAGUGGCUGGGUGGGCAACGUGCCCACAUGUGGGUGUGUCUGUGAACCUGUGACUGAGCAUGUGUGGUCCGUAGGAGUCCGGGUGACCGUGAUGGCAUGCGUGUGGAUGUAUGCACGCAUGGACAGGGGAGCACGGCUGGUAGUCCUGGAGCUACCUGACAACCUGGAACUGAGCAGAAGGAAAAAGUGUAGGUGAGACUCAGAAUUUUAUUACUUCCCUGAGGGAAACCAUCUCCCAGGCCCUGCUUCCAGGCUCCACAGCUGUCCUGAUCCCUCAAGCUUCACCUUCCCUGCCAGGGAACGCCUGUGGGGCCACCGGGCUUAGCCUCUCCAUGCCUCAGUUUCCCCAUUUGAAAUGAGGGUAUUCAGUGUGUGGCUGUGAGGGUUAUAUUAGUUCACAUAAAGGAAGCAUUUAAAACAGCCCUUGGCACCUGGGUUAUCCUGGUGGCUCAGUGGUUAAGUGCUACGGCUGCUAACCAAAAGGUCAGCAGUUCAAAUCCACCAGGCACUCCUUGGAAACUCUAUGGGGCAGUUCUGCUCUGUCCUAUAGGGUCACUAUGAGUUGAAAUUAACUCGACUGCACUGGGUUUUUUUUUUU